GGCGGCUACACAUGCAGUCGAGCGGAUGACGGGAGCUUGCUCCUUGAUUCAGCGGCGGACGGGUGAGUAAUGCCUAGGAAUCUGCCUGGUAGUGGGGGACAACGUUUCGAAAGGAACGCUAAUACCGCAUACGUCCUACGGGAGAAAGCAGGGGACCUUCGGGCCUUGCGCUAUCAGAUGAGCCUAGGUCGGAUUAGCUAGUUGGUGGGGUAAUGGCUCACCAAGGCGACGAUCCGUAACUGGUCUGAGAGGAUGAUCAG
rnacentral:rRNA from 1 species